AUGGGUAGAAUGGUGCUUGCAAGGUUCGUCCUCUCGGCCAUGCCCAUCUUCCUCCUGCUGGGAGUGCACCAACCGAAGUGGGUGAUUAAGCAAAUUGACAAACUCCAUCGGGCAUUCUUAUGGGCAGGUUCCGACAACGUGUGUGGAGGCAAGUGUCUUGUCCAUUGAUCCCUAGUGUGCUCCCCACUUAAUUUUGGAGGGCUGGGCAUUCCUGACCUGUAUGCUCAGGAAAGAGCCCUCAAAGUUCGCUGGUUAUGGCAGAGUGCCACUGAACUGGAUAAACCAUGGCAAGGGCUGCAGCUACCGAUUGACAAACAUGUUAAGGCACUCUUUAUUGCUAGCACCACCAUCAAGAUUGGCAACGGGGCCAAGGUGUCAUUUUGGCACGAUCAUUGGUUAAGCGGCGAGAUCCCCUCUGUUUCUUUCCCCAACUUAUACAAGCAUAGCAAGAGCAGAAAAAUUUCUUUGGCUGAAGGUCUCACAAAUAGGAGGUGGGUAACCUUGCUGAAGAGAAACCCUGGGAUUUAG
rnacentral:rRNA from 1 species